CCUACGGGUGGCAGCAGUGAGGAAUAUUGGUCAAUGGACGCAAGUCUGAACCAGCCAUGCCGCGUGCAGGAUGACGGCUCUAUGCGUUGUAAACUGCUUUUGUACGGGGGUAAACCCCGAUACGUGUAUCGGGUUGAAAGUAUCGUACGAAUAAGGAUCGGCUAACUCCGUGCCAGCAGCCGCGGUAAUACGGAGGAUGCGAGCGUUAUCCGGAUUUAUUGGGUUUAAAGGGUGCGUAGGCGGGUUGAUAAGUUAGCGGUGAAAUGGCGGGGCUCAACCCCGAAACUGCCUCUAAUACUGGGGGCGUAGAGAAGAGUGGCGGUAGGCGGAAUGGGUGGUGUAGCGGUGAAAUGCCUAGAGAUCAUACAGAACACCGAUUGCGAAGGCAGCUUACCAAACUAUAACUGACGUUGAGGCACGAAAGCGUGGGGAGCAAACAGGAUUAGAUACCCUGGUAGUC
rnacentral:rRNA from 1 species